rnacentral:misc_RNA from 1 species
AACCUUAUGGACCUGCGGGCGUAUACCUGCGGAGGGAUCAUUAAAAAAACUUUGCCCGCGGACCCUGGAUCCAAGGCGCAAAACCCACACUAUGUGCACUGUUAUCGUUCUUUUGGCAGAGGCUUGGGGUGUCUUCGGAACCUCAACUUCUCAUCUAGCUCUAUCCACCUCGGACAGCUGGACAUGAGAAGCAGUUACCCUGCCAAGUGACCCCUAAAACACGCUUUUUUGUCUGAAAUG